AUCUGGUUGAACAACAGAUUGUCCUAAACCGGAUCUUCGGGGAAGACGGUGAAAGGCCGUCGCUGCCCCGCAGCUGUAACCGUAGACGAAAUCCGUAAUGAGCCACUGGAGCGUUUUUUCUCCGGGAAGGCACGGAGAGUAGGAAGAAACGGGAGCCAGAAUACCCGAAUUUCCGCGUGCCCUAUGU
rnacentral:ncRNA from 19 species